ensembl:misc_RNA Metazoa_SRP Metazoan signal recognition particle RNA
GCUGGGUGUGGUGGUGCACACCUGCAAUUCCAGCUACUCAGGAGGCUGAGGCAAGAGGAUCACUUGAGCCCAGGAGGUACAGGUUGCAGUGAGCUAUGAUUGAACCACUGCACUCCAGCCUGGGCAACAAAGUGAGACCCUGUCUCAA